ACAUGGUAAUCCUGGGUCAUCAACAAAGGAUGCAAACUAUUGGACCAGAGCAGAUGGUGCAAGCUGUAGUAAAAGGCGAUAUAGCUUCUGUUCAGCAAUAUAUCAAACUGAAGAAAGAUUUGGUUAACUGCAAGUUCAAAGAACUGACACCUUUGAUGUUUGCAAGUCAUGGAGGACACUUGUCUAUAGUUAAGCUAUUAUUAGACAACGGAGCAAACUUGGAAACUCUUUCUGAGGACAGUAAUACAGCGCUCCUCAUAGCUGCAGCCGGG